UGACUCUACAAGUAUUUUUAAAAUUCAAAGAUUUUACCUUCCUAAAGAAGCUUAUGAUUGGCCUAUAAAGCCCAAAGGAGACUAGUCUUGAAUUGACCUAAAAUUUCACAUCUCAAAGAAAGUUAUCUCUUAGAUGACUCGUGCAAAAAGGAAUUUUUCUAUCUUUUGAAUUUAGAUGUAAUUGUUGUAAAUUCAAUGUAAAAAGGGAUAAUGGUGGGGCUUGGACAUCUCAAUCAGUGGAUGCAAUAUUUGAUCACCUUUGAGAGCUUGAAUAAAUAUUGCAGAGAGCGUUUUUGUCAAAUAAGGAGUUGGUGCGUUCACUAUUCGGGCUUUAAAAUGUUAACAUUUUUUAAAUCCUUACAAUCAUCAAUUUCUCUUGUUUUGCAACUUAGUCAGACUAGAAGAUAGCCUGGCAUCUCUUAAUGAGCUUGAAAAUGAUGUUGGCCUUGAAUUGAAAUCACUGCCAGAAGGGAUGUGUCACUCAACACUUCAAUUUUCCCAAAAUUGAUAUUGACUAGCAAUGGUACCUGAUUCAUAUAGGAUUUCUGUUCUUUAAUUGAAGCA